rnacentral:rRNA from 1 species
UGGGGAAUAUUGGACAAUGGGCGAAAGCCUGAUCCAGCCAUGCCGCGUGAGUGACGAAGGCCUUAGGGUUGUAAAACUCUUUCGUCGGGGACGAUAAUGACGGUACCCGAAGAAGAAGCUCCGGCUAACUUCGUGCCAGCAGCCGCGGUAAUACGAAGGGAGCUAGCGUUGUUCGGAAUCACUGGGCGUAAAGCGCACGUAGGCGGAUAGUUAAGUCAGGGGUGAAAUCCUGGGGCUCAACCCCAGAACUGCCUUUGAUACUGGCUGUCUCGAGGUCGAGAGAGGUUGGUGGAAUUCUUGGUGUAGCGGUGAAAUGCGUAGAUAUCAAGAGGAACACCUGAGGUGAAGACGGGUUGCUGGGCUGACACUGACGCUGAGGCGCGAAAGCCAGGGGAGCAAACGGGAUUAGAUACCCAUGUAGUCCCUGAGCGGGCUGGCAAGGCGCAU